rnacentral:rRNA from 1 species
ACUCAAAUGAAUAGACGGGGACCCGCACAAGCGGUGGAGCAUGUGGUUUAAUUCGAAGCAACGCGAAGAACCUUACCUAAACUUGACAUCCUUUUGACCGGUACCUAAUAGUACCUUUCGGAGCUUGCUCCGACAAGAGUGACAGGUGGUGCAUGGUUGUCGUCAGCUCGUGUCGUGAGAUGUUGGGUUAAGUCCCGCAACGAGCGCAACCCUUAUCUUUAGUAGCCAUCAUUAAGUUGGGCACUCUAGAGAGACUGCCAGGGAUAACCUGGAGGAAGGUGGGGAUGACGUCAAAUCAUCAUGCCCCUUAUGUUUAGGGCUACACACGUGCUACAAUGGCUGCUACAAAGGGAAGCGAUCUAGUGAUAGUUAGCAAACCUCAAAAAAGCAGUCCCAGUUCGGAUUGUAGUCUGCAACUCGACUACAUGAAGUUGGAAUCGCUAGUAAUCGCGAAUCAGAAUGUCGCGGUGAAUACGUUCCCGGGUCUUGUACACACCGCCCGU